CCCCUCCUUCACUCCUUCCUGAGAGUACAUACUGUAUAUUGUAUAUAUACCAUAACACAUCUUACAGGCUCCAAACUAAUGUCUACUCAAAGUUCACAACUUAUCAGGACUAUUUAGAGUUGUACAUUCAAUGCUGAGUUUUCCUUCCUGUCUUUGUAGGCUACCCAGAGUAGGUUGCUGGGAACUGAGUGGGACCGUACGCAUGGCAGAGAGUUUCCAGAACUGACAGAAGCCAGGCAGUAGGCAUGACGUUUUACACACCCACAACAGAAACCUUCAGGACUGUCAAGAGUCCCGUGUAACUCAGCAAAUAGAGCCUGUGUACCUGGUAGAGCCUCUGUAGCUCAGUAGGUUGAGCCUGUGUCACUGGUAGAGCCCCUGUAGCUCAGUAGGUUGAGCCUGUGUAGCUCAGUAGGUAGAGUCUGUGUCGCUGGUAGAGCCCCUGUAGCUCAGUAGGUAGAGUCUGUGUAGCUCAGUAGGUAGAGUCUGUGUAGCUCAGUAGGUUGAGCCUGUGUUGCUCAGUAGGUAGAGCCUGUGUUGCUGGUAGAGCACCUGUGGCUCAGUAGGUAGAGUCUGUGUAGCUCAGUAGGUAGAGCCUGUGUCGCUGGUAGAGCCCCUGUAGCUCAGUAGGUUGAGCCUGUGUCGCUGGUAGAGCCCCUGUAGCUCAGUAGGUAGAGCCUGUGUAGCUCAGUCGGCAGAGUCUGUGUAGCUCAGUAGGUAGAGCCUGUGUCGCUGGUAGAGCCCCUGUAGCUCAGUAGGUUGAGCCUGUGUCGCUGGUAGAGCCCCUGUAGCUCAGUAAGUAGAGCCUGUGUAGCUCAGUAGGUAGAGUCUGUGUCGCUGGUAGAGCCCCUGUAGCUCAGUAGGUAGAGCCUGUGUAGCUCAGUAGGUAGAGUCUGUGUCGCUGGUAGAGCCCCUGUAGCUCAGUAGGUAGAGCCUGUGUAGCUCAGUCGGCAGAGUCUGUGUAGGUCAGUAGGUAGAGC
ensembl:lncRNA